rnacentral:lncRNA from 1 species
GUGUAGAACCCUUUUCUCAGGCAAAACCUAACAUCUGACCGCACCCUUUUUGCUAUUAAAAAAAAAAAAAAAAAAGCUUCUAUUUUUUUCCUCCUUUCGUUAAGAUAAAUUCUCCAGUAGACAACCUCUCUCACUAAUUGUGUAUUAGCAACGUAUUUUAUUUUGAGAGCUGUACACUGGGCUCUCAAUGUGGUGUGGAAGGUAGCCUGUUACAGUGCUGGAUUCAUAAAAGGGCCUUUAUGGUUUGUGAAAGAAUAUCUGUGUGCUUAGGGAGGAAACUUUUUGAUCUGCAGAAAAGCCAGAAAGAAGACAUCUAGGACAUCCAUAAAAAUUCUUCAGAGGGUGUUUUACUACUGAGCUGCAAAGGUAGGAAAAAUAAAUUUUUUUUGGUUAGAAAAUAUACUUCUUUCAUCUGCGUUUCAAUAAUUUAUUCCCCUUGUUAGAUAUACAUGGAAUUGAUGUUGCUUAUUCUAAGUGUAAAGUGUUAUUUCUACUUACUGCUCAAUUAGAAAAAUGUAGUGUUUAAUUGUCAGUUUGAAUUUUUCUUUCAUACUAUUACAGUUUAUAUUUUACUAUAGACAGAAUUUACUCUUUCUCCUAAAUUUUGAUAUUCUCCAUAAUUUCAUCGUGCCUUUAUUUCUAUACAUCAGGAAGGCAAUUCUGUGUGUGUGUGUAUAUAUAUAUAUAUAUAGUUAGAAGUUAGAAA